UACGUAGGGGCCAAGCGUUGUCCGGAUUUAUUGGGCGUAAAGAGCUCGUAGGCGGUUUGUCGCGUCUGCUGUGAAAUCCCGAGGCUCAACCUCGGGCCUGCAGUGGGUACGGGCAGGCUGGAGUGCGGUAGGGGAGAAUGGAAUUCCUGGUGUAGCGGUGGAAUGCGCAGAUAUCAGGAGGAACACCGAUGGCGAAGGCAGUUCUCUGGGCCGUAACUGACGCUGAGGAGCGAAAGCGUGGGGAGCGAACAGG
rnacentral:rRNA from 1 species